CAAUGCUGUGGAUCGAGAGGAAUCAUCGACGAUUGAUCAGCGAUUGCUGGCUCCUCAGUCAGGACGACGCACGAGUGAGGAUUCCACACGUUGGCAACCGUCUUUAUAUCCCAUCUCGGAGGACGUCGGGGAGAGUGAUCGCUCAACGGCCAAGGUCUCAGUCGUACGUGGGAAAUCAAAGACCAAAAAGUUGGUUUUAUUCAGCUACAAAAUCAAGAGAGCCUGGUUAGUCCUCACGUAUAUAUUAGA